CCUUCUUCAGGGCGAACAGAAAAAUUAAAGCUGUUCGUUAAAUAGUAUAGAGCAGAACAUAGCUUAGCAUAGUUUUUGAGGAAAUAGAAUUGUUGGUGUGUAAGCAACAAAAUUAAAUUCAUAGUUUCAAUCAAUAAUCAUCUAUUAAUUUAAUUUUUAUUUAACUAAAUAAAGUUGCUCCCAAGAAAGUCGAUGCAUAUCACAGUUAAAAUAUUGCAAAUAACACCUUAGCUAUCCUCUAAGACAACUUGGCAACAGCGAUAUUCCACGUAGGCAUAGUUUCAUUAAUUCAUUACUCAAGACUCAAGUUUCAAUUUUUACCUAGAGCUCUAAGGGAGAGCACGGCGUGAGUUUUGUUAAUAGGAUUAUUUCAUUCAUUAGCCUGCAAAGAUGCAGGUCUUCAAUAAAAUAUGUACGCUAGAACACAGUAAAAUAACUAAAAAACGUAGUGUUUUGACCAAAUACCUAAAAUAGCCAAAGAUGCUGAAAAUAUUACUGGAUUUUUAAAAUUGCACCUUAUAAGAUUUCUAAAUAGCAUUGGAUUCAAGGUUUUGACUAUGCGAAUGAAUACCUAAGAAAGCUUAAUCCAGCAAAUUUGUAUUGGAGUAACUCAUCAACAGGGUUUUUGACUAUGAAACUGAGAACUCCUAGAAAUAUUCAGCUAGCAUAUCUAGCAUGGAUUAUUCAAUCAAAAGGCUUUUGACUAUGAAAAUGAGUAUUCCUAGAAAUAUUCCGCUAGCAUAUCUGGAUUGGACUAUUUAACCAAAGGAGAACAAUGAUUGAUGGGAUAGACUUACAGAUGUAGGAUAGAUGUGAUGGUAUAACCUCAACCGAUCAUUUCUUAGAUUUCAAGCAACAAUUUUCUAGGUUGAUCCUGUGGUUUAAUUAAGUAUAACUAAUGCAUUGGCCUUAUCAGUUAAUUUCAACUUAUCAGAAUAAAUAGUGGUUAAAUAUUUA